rnacentral:rRNA from 1 species
UGAGUAACCUGCCCUGGACUUUGGGAUAACCCUCGGAAACGGGGGCUAAUACCGGAUAUGACAUGCUCUCGCAUGGGGGUGUGUGGAAAGUUUUUCGGUCUGGGAUGGGCUCGCGGCCUAUCAGCUUGUUGGUGGGGUGAUGGCCUACCAGGCGACGACGGGUAGCCGGCCUGAGAGGGUGUCCGGCCACACUGGGACUGAGAUACGGCCCAGACUCCGUACGGGAGGCA